UGAUGAUGGUGGCGGUGGUGGUGGUGAUGACGAUGGUGGUGGUGAUGAACAUUAACAACAUCAUCGUCAUCAUCAUCAUCAUCACAAUCAUCAUCA
rnacentral:pre_miRNA from 1 species